rnacentral:rRNA from 1 species
GAUGAACGCUAGCUACAGGCUUAACACAUGCAAGUCGGGGGGUAACGAGAGGAAAGCUUGCUUUCCUUGUCGACGACCGGCGCACGGGUGAGUAACGCGUAUCCAACCUGCCCCCAACUAGGGAAUAACCUUGCGAAAGUAAGACUAAUACCCUAUAAUUUCCUCAGAUGUCAUCUGACGAGGAAUAAAGAUUUAUCGGUUGUGGAUGGGGAUGCGUCUGAUUAGCUUGUUGGCGGGGUAACGGCCCACCAAGGCAACGAUCAGUAGGGGUUCUGAGGGGAAGGUCCCCCACAUUGGAACUGAGACACGGUCCAAACUCCUACGGGAGGCAGCAGUGAGGAAUAUUGGUCAAUGGGCGGAAGCCUGAACCAGCCAAGUAGCUUGCAGGAUGACGGCCCUAUGGGUUGUAAACUGCUUUUAUACAGGAAUAAAGUUAGCCACGUGUGGUUAUUUGUAGGUACUGUAUGAAUAAGGACCGGCUAAUUCCGUGCCAGCCGCCGCCGUAA